CAUGCUGCUGCCCCUGCUGCUGCCCCCCCCGGAUGCUGUGGAGGUGACGCGGCCCUGCGGCGUCUCACUGAGCAACCAUCACUUCUGAGGAAUCCAAGCCUUUCACCUGCCUGGAUGGUUCCUCCACCAUCGCCUUUGAGUGGGUCAAUGACGACGAUUGCGACUGUCGCGACGGCUCUGACGAACCUGGGACCUCAGCCUGCCCCAAUGGCCAUUUCCACUGCACCAACGCUGGGUACCGACCCCAGAACAUCCCCUCUGCCCACGUCAAUGAUGGCGUCUGUGGUGAGUGGGGGGGGUCAUUGUGGGGUGU